rnacentral:rRNA from 3 species
UUAAGUUGCAGGGUAUAGACCCGAAACCCGGUGAUCUAGCCAUGGGCAGGUUGAAGGUUGGGUAACACUAACUGGAGGACCGAACCGACUAAUGUUGAAAAAUUAGCGGAUGACCUGUGGCUGGGGGUGAAAGGCCAAUCAAACCGGGAGAUAGCUGGUUCUCCCCGAAAGCUAUUUAGGUAGCGCCUCGUGAAUUCAUCUCCGGGGGUAGAGCACUGUUUCGGCUAGGGGGCCAUCCCGGCUUACCAACCCGAUGCAAACUGCGAAUACCGGAGAAUGUUAUCACGGGAGACACACGGCGGGUGCUAACGUCCGUCGUGAAGAGGGAAACAACCCAGACCGCCAGCUAAGGUCCCAAAGUCAUGGUUAAGUGGGAAACGAUGUGGGAAGGCCCAGACAGCCAGGAUGUUGGCUUAGAAGCAGCCAUCAUUUAAAGAAAGCGUAAUAGCUCACUGGUCGAGUCGGCCUGCGCGGAAGAUGUAACGGGGCUAAACCAUG